rnacentral:rRNA from 1 species
UACGUAGGGUGCAAGCGUUGUCCGGAAUUAUUGGGCGUAAAGAGCUCGUAGGCGGUUUGUCGCGUCUGCUGUGAAAAUCCAGGGCUUAACCCUGGACCUGCAGUGGGUACGGGCAGACUGGAGUGCGGUAGGGGAGAUCGGAAUUCCUGGUGUAGCGGUGAAAUGCGCAGAUAUCAGGAAGAACACCCGUGGCGAAGGCGGCUCUCUGGGACGGUACUGACGCUGAGACGCGAAAGCGUGGGGAGCGAACAGG